UACGUAGGGGGCAAGCGUUGUCCGGAAUCAUUGGGCGUAAAGAGCGUGUAGGCGGCCAGAAAAGUCCGCUGUGAAAACUCGAGGCUCAACUUCGAGCUGUCGGUGGAAACUUUCUGGCUAGAGUCCGGAAGAGGAGAAUGGAAUUCCUGGUGUAGCGGUGAAAUGCGCAGAUAUCAGGAAGAACACCCGUGGCGAAAGCGGCUCUCUGGAACGGUACUGACGCU
rnacentral:rRNA from 1 species